CCAUGGUGGAGGCAUGCUGGGCUCAUAUAAGGGCAGCCACUGGAGGGGGAGUGUUUCUUAGUCCUAGGUUGCUUCUUGAGGAGUGCUGUAUGACCAGAGAGUGCUUUCGCCAGUGGGGACUCCCCUGUGAAUAGAAGGAAUAGUAUUAUCAGUACUACAAACCUUGGGAAAUGAAUGUGAAGCCUGAACUGACAGCAACUUAGCCAAGCUCCAGGCAGGAUAUUCUGCAGCACGGUUAGAAAUUGAAGCCUGACUCUUAUCCAAGUGCAAGAGUGAUUUUCUGCAGAGCAAUCACUUUGGCUGUCUCAAAAUCAGGAUAGCUGCUCAAUCACGUUCCAAGCAGCGCAGUGCUUAGCAUGCUGAAGGAGGGCUGACAGCCCAGGCCUCACUGCAUCUGCAGUUCUGGAAUGGGAACAUGGAUGUUGAGUGAUGGGAGGGGGUUGAACUGGCUCCUAAAGGAGCAAAUCUUACAAAGAUUUUGAGGAAUGUGUGAGGCAUUACUUGGCAGAGCUGUGUGAGCGUUUAUAUAAUCUUCAGUGCAAAGUCAGUCUUAUUUGCUUGGGUGCUACAACAGAGUGAUAUUUUAAAGAGCUUCUACAAGCUAGAGCCUUCAGUUAUCUUCAGAUUGUCAGCUGCAGGCAGGGAAGAGUGAAUGAAACCUUGUCUAUGCCACUGAUCACCAAGAAGAUCCAGAAUAAGGCUCUUCAAAAUGCAGCAGUAGUAAGAAAAUCUAUUUCUCCCUACUUUCCAACUUGGCCUGUUGAGUUUCUUCAGCUGUCAUGCCUGUGAUUUGUAAGCAUAAGCUUGUAUGCAGUGCAGUAAUUUUUGUUUGUUUCAUGUCGUACUAUAGGGCUGCACCAAAAGGCUUUUGACCUUUUGGCCUUGGGCACUUUUUCUCCAGCAGAAAUUGCUGUGACAGAUUUCAGGAGUUGUGUUAAAAUAUAAAAGAAUAGGAAUGUUGUUCAUCUUUACCUUUUCGUCAUUCCUCUCAUGUUCUUCACUUAAGUAAAUCCACACAUUGCUCUGUUUUGUUUUCAGUUCCUAUUUGCCCUCAUGCUAAGAGUGCUGGUUUCCAUUAAUGAGUCCAGCAAUUGAUGACACUCGAUGAUAUCUCAGCAUCCAGAAAUCCUGAAAGCAUGCUGACUAUACAAAACACUGCUGUAAGAACUGACUGUGAGGUGGCUAUUUUUUUUCCCUUUUAAAAGGAUGCGGCUAUUUGGUGUUCCCAGCAUGCAUGUCUUGUCACUGUGGGCCAAAGGGAAGUUAAGUGUGGAUUUUGAUGGCUGACAAGAGAGUUUCUUCUUUUUUUGACCCCUCAUCUGACUAGAUAAUAUUCUUGCAGCUAUUACAGUAAGGCCAAGAAAGGGGGAAGAAAUUAUGGAAGGAUGCAUUCAGAGAAUGAAUGACAAGAAUGGAAAAAGAAACUUAAAGGGCCAGAUUCUGAGGCAGAAUGAGUAGCAGUCAACAGGGCAAAUGGCAAGGACUCAGAAAUGCUGUGGAUGUGCAGAGCUUGUAGUGAACAGAUUUUCAGUGCCACCUGGAGUAAUCUUUAAAUUAGCAGAUGGAAAACACGAGGGGUAGGAAGCUUAUUUAUCAGGAAUUAAGUGUAAGAACACAUCCUUCUCUCAAAAGGCCUUUGGGUUCCUUUCAGGGAUUCCCAAAAGAUCUAGCAGUGUCCUGUGUUUUGUCUACAGUGUUCUAAAUACAGCCUUCAGUCAUACCAGUCCUGUUUGCCAGCACUGAACUAGCUUCACGCCCUGUAAAUCCUUUGAGUACCUCAUGUUUAAGUCUAUGUAUUCAGAUUCUUUGAAUAUUCAUUUUCUUGGCCUGAAAAUAUAGAAGUCUAAUGCUUGUUAAUUUAAAGUGUGCUUACGUUUUUAUUCCCAUUCAAGCCUGCUGCAUAGUAAAACAUUUCUACCUUACAUAUUUUUCAUCUCUGGAGCAGCAUAAACUACCUUGGACUCAAAAGUGUGUGUAUCAUUUCAGCAACUGCUAUCGGUAGUAAACUGUCCUGAUAAAGGUGAUAUUUCAGUUGAUUC